rnacentral:rRNA from 1 species
AUGGGGACGCCCCGUGGUAAGGCUAACAGGGAGCGCGCGGGGUUGCAUGUGCACGUUCCCGCAUCUUGGGGCUCACAGGUCGCCAAACAGGACUCCCCCCUCAUCGGGCCCAUGGUGAAGAUUGAUGAACUAUAUUGUGAGCGGUGGCAGUACCCGCCAUUCCAGCGCCAUCGACGUUUCAAAUUCAUCAUGUACGCUCGAUUUGAACUGGUGUCCACUGACAUCGUACUUUCCAUCGCCGUGGUGAAAGCAGGGGCAAUCGAUCGUGGGUUGCCAGGAGCGUUCGCGGGUUGGCUGGGCGUUUUUUUACCGUCCUCAUUUGCACCCAGCGGCGGCGCCUCCGCUUCAGCCUCUGUUGCUGGUGGACUGACUAUUUUAUAUGCACUGAAGCUGCAACUGAGGGUAGUGCUACUCUAUGUUGGGCAGCAAUGGCACAUCAACAUUAUGUACCUGAAGCGAUCGCUACAGAAGAAAGACCUAGCAAGCGAUAACGGCGCCACGAGGAUUCGCUGCCAUGAGGAGGACCCCGACCUGUAUGAUGGCCACCGGAAGGUCACACACUUCUUUGGCUCGCUGCUCGCUCAGAUGGCUCCAUUGACGACUUCUCUAAGGUAUCUAAGAAUGCUGAUGAUUACACUCGGAGCAAGCCUUGUCGCGGCGCUGCAAGUGUUCCCCCCUCCUCCCCAAGGGCAAGGUGAAGGAAGGUGCCUGUGUGGUUCUUCUGCAGCUUGCAGCGAGGAUUGCUGUGUCAACCUACACAAGAAUGCCAAGAAGUCCUUCUCGGAGACGAUUAAGGACAUGUACCUGCACUACAACGAGAGAUCUGGGCUGCUUAUUUGUGGCUUCCAAACUUGA